UACAGAGGUCCCAAGCGUUGUUCGGAUUCACUGGGCGUAAAGGGUGCGUAGGUGGUCGGGUAAGUCCGAUGUGAAAUCUCCAGGCUCAACCUGGAAAUGGCAUUGGAUACUAUUCGGCUUGAGGAGUGGAGGGGGGACUGGAAUUCUCGGUGUAGCAGUGAAAUGCGUAGAUAUCGAGAGGAACACCAGUGGCGAAGGCGAGUCCCUGGACACUUCCUGACACUGAGGCACGAGAGCUAGGGGAGCAAACAGG
rnacentral:rRNA from 1 species